AUUGAACGCUGGCGGCAGGCCUAACACAUGCAAGUCGAACGAGUGGCGGACGGGUGAGUAAUGUAUGGGAAACUGCCUGAUGGAGGGGGAUAACUACUGGAAACGGUAGCUAAUACCGCAUACCAUCGGAUGUGCCCAGAUGGGAUUAGCUAGUAGGGGGGGUAACGGCUCACCUAGGCGACGAUCCCUCGCUGGUCUGAGAGGAUGACCAGCCACACUGGAGCUGAGACACGGUCCAGCCUCCUACGGGAGGCAGCGGUGGGGCACAUUGCACAAGGGGCGGAAGCGUGUAGCAGCCAUUCGGCGUGUACGAAGAGGGCCUUCGGGUUGUAAAGUACUAUCCGCUGGGAGGCGUUACCCGCAGAAGAAGCACCGGCUAACUCCGUGCCAGCAGCCGCGGUAAUUC
rnacentral:rRNA from 1 species